rnacentral:rRNA from 1 species
UACGUAGGUCCCGAGCGUUGUCUGGAUUUAUUGGGCGUAAAGCGAGCGCAGGUGGUUUAAUAAGUCUGAUGUAAAAGGCAGUGGCUCAACCAUUGUGUGCAUUGGAAACUGUUAGGCUUGAGUGCAGUAGAGGAGAGUGGAAUUCCAUGUGUAGCGGUGAAAUGCGUAGAUAUAUGGAGGAACACCGGUGGCGAAAGCGGCUCUCUGGACUGUAACUGACACUGAGGCUCGAAAGCGUGGGUAGCAAACAGG